CGCCCGCCCCGCCUUCCGUGAGGAUGAUGCUGCUGCCGCCGCGGUCGCCGCCGCCGCUCUCCGCCCUGUCCCAGGUGCUGCGGCUGGAGCGAAACCGCCGCGUCGGCGUGGUGUUCCCGCUGCAGAAGCUGGCGCGUUACUUGGCUCCCGGCGUCGACGCGACGCGGUUCGGCCUCUUCCGACCCGGCCUGGACGCCCUGCAACGCGCCGAAGGGUUUUUCAGGGCCGGCCGUCAUCACGCCAUCGAUUACGUCAGCUCCGCCGUCCGUAUGGACCAUGCUCCGCCGCCCGCCCUCCCCGAGGUGUGCUUCAUCGGCAGAAGCAACGUGGGGAAGUCAUCUCUAAUCCGGGCCUUGUUUUCCCUGUCUCCAGAGGUGGAGGUCAGAGUGUCAAAAACGCCGGGCCACACCAAGAAGAUGAAUUUCUUCAAAGUGGGGAAGUACUUUACUCUGGUGGAUAUGCCAGGAUACGGCUACCGUGCCCCGCAGGACUUUGUGGAGAUGGUGGAGGCCUAUCUGCAGGAACGGCACAACUUGAAGAGGACGUUUCUAUUAGUUGAUGGUGUAGUAGGACUCCAGAAAACAGAUCAUAUUGCAGUAGAGAUGCUGGAAGAUUUUGGGCUUCCUUAUGUGAUGGUGUUAACAAAAAUUGACCGAGCUUCCAGGGGAGUGUUGUUAAAGAACGUAUUGGAGAUCCAGGAGUUUGUAAAGGAGAAAACUCAGGGAUGCUUUCCUCAGCUAUUCCUUGUCAGUUCUCUGGAGUUUUCGGGGGUUCACUUGCUACGGUGUUUUGUAGCCCAUGUUACUGGAAACCUGCCUACUGUAGAGGCCAGCUGAAAAGACUUGCUCCUGGUCUGCUCGGCUCAUCCAGAAGAAAAGGUAGCAAAACUAGAGGUGUGGAUUUUUGUCGUAAAUAACCCGAGGUGCAGCGUGACAGGACACCUCGAUUGCAUACCUCGGGUUCUCCCUGUUCCAGGUGGACGAAGGAAUGGAGACAUCUUUAAUGGGAUCUGCUUUUUGAUCACUGUUGGCUUGAAACAGAGAGGAAUAAAUGACUGACACCUAGGGGAACUCUCUCCUUCUGCACUUUAUCAUCCAUCAGUGCUGCAUCUACCUUCUGUUUUAAAUCCAGCGUGAAGUUCUGCAGCUGCGCUCAGAGGAAUUGCCAGCAAUGAGACACAUUGUCCAUUAUCUGCAUCUGUUUUACCCUGGCAGCUGAAGCACAAUGCUGAUGUCCCAUACUCUUUAGGAGCACUGUAACAGCUGGCAGAACCGUGUCCCACAGCAGAUAAGAGCACCUGAAGUUGGCUUGUUACAAGGCACAGAUUUGGAAAAAAAAGGACUGCCAUCAAUAGCAGUAGUUGUUACAAAAGCAUUUACGCUAAAGCUAUUAAGUGCCUACAUCAAACAUAGGUCUUGUCAUGUCAUGUCUUUAACGUUGCCAAAUGUGUGUAUGCAGUUGUCAAAGUUACUUACACUAAGUGUUUAAACCUCAAGAAAGGGCAGGUCUUUUGUGAACCAC